rnacentral:misc_RNA from 1 species
AUUCAUCAACCCCUCCCGUUUUGUUGCGGGCUGGGGCUGGAUCUGGGGGCAUGCGGCCGAUGGGUCGCUCCCCUCAAAUGUUUCGGUUGGACCUGUGGGUCGGACUCGACUGGGCGUUGUACCAUCCUCGCUCCGAUGAGAAGUUCCCCUUUGCGUGUCCAUCCUUGACCUGCCGUCGAGCGGCGGUCGAAAGGAAAGGCGCGAGCCUUUUUCGAA